CAUGCCGCGUGCAGGAUGACGGCCCUAUGGGUUGUAAACUGCUUUUAUAUGGGAAUAAACCCUCGGACGUGUCCGAGGCUGAAGGUACCAUAAGAAUAAGGACCGGCUAACUCCGUGCCAGCAGCCGCGGUAAUACGGAGGGUCCAAGCGUUAUCCGGAUUUAUUGGGUUUAAAGGGUCCGUAGGCGGGAUAUUAAGUCAGUGGUGAAAGCCUGCAGCUUAACUGUAGCACUGCCAUUGAUACUGGUAUUCUUGAGUAUAGUUGAAGUGGGCGGAAUAUGUCAUGUAGCGGUGAAAUGCAUAGAUAUGACAUAGAACACCUAUUGCGAAGGCAGCUCACUAAGCUAUUACUGACGCUAAGGGACGAAAGCGUGGGUAGCAAACAGGAUUAGAUACCCUGGUAGUCCACGCCGUAAACGAUGAUCACUCGCUGUUGGCGAUAUACAGUCAGCGGCCAAGCGAAAGCAUUAAGUGAUCCACCUGGGGAGUACGCUCGCAAGAGUGAAACUCAAA
rnacentral:rRNA from 1 species